GAUGAACGCUGGCGGCGUGCCUAAUACAUGCAAGUCGAGCGAACGGACGAGAAGCUUGCUUCUCUGAUGUUAGCGGCGGACGGGUGAGUAACACGUGGAUAACCUACCUAUAAGACUGGGAUAACUUCGGGAAACCGUAGCUAAUACCGGAUAAUAUUUUGAACCGCAUGGUUCAAAAGUGAAAGACGGUCUUGCUGUCACUUAUAGAUGGAUCCGCGCUGCAUUAGCUAGUUGGUAAGGUAACGGCUUACCAAGGCAACGAUGCAUAGCCGACCUGAGAGGGUGAUCGACCACACUGGAACUGAGACACGGUCCAGACUCCUACGGGAGGCAGCAGUAGGGAAUCUUCCGCAAUGGGCGAAAGCCUGACGGAGCAACGCCGCGUGAGUGAUGAAGGUCUUCGGAUCGUAAAACUCUGUUAUUAGGGAAGAACAUAUGUGUAAGUAACUGUGCACAUCUUGACGGUACCUAAUCAGAAAGCCACGGCUAACUACGUG
rnacentral:rRNA from 1 species